rnacentral:rRNA from 1 species
GACGGAGGAUGCAAGGGUUAUCCGGAAUCACUGGGCGUAAAGCGUAUGUAGGUGGUUUAAAAAGUCCACUGUUAAAGAUUGAAGCUUAACUUCAAAAAUGCCGUGGAAACUUUUAAACUUGAGUAUGAUAGGGGUAGAGGGAAUUUCCAGUGGAGCGGUGAAAUGCGUAGAUAUUGGAAAGACCACCAAUGGCGAAGGCACUCUACUGGGCCAUUACUGACACUGAGAGACGAAAGCUAGGGGAGCAAAUGGG